AACGAACGCUGGCGGCAGGCUUAACACAUGCAAGUCGAGCGAGACCUUCGGGUCUAGCGGCGGACGGGUGAGUAACGCGUGGGAACGUGCCCUUCUCUACGGAAUAGCCCCGGGAAACUGGGAGUAAUACCGUAUACGCCCUUUGGGGGAAAGAUUUAUCGGGGAAGGAUCGGCCCGCGUUGGAUUAGGUAGUUGGUGGGGUAAUGGCCCACCAAGCCGACGAUCCAUAGCUGGUUUGAGAGGAUGAUCAGCCACACUGGGACUGAGACACGGCCCAGACUCCUACGGGAGGCAGCAGUGGGGAAUCUUAGACAAUGGGGGCAACCCUGAUCUAGCCAUGCCGCGUGAGUGAUGAAGGCCUUAGGGUUGUAAAGCUCUUUCAGCUGGGAAGAUAAUGACGGUACCAGCAGAAGAAGCCCCGGCUAACUCCGUG
rnacentral:rRNA from 1 species